UUUUUAUUCGCUAUCCACAAGUUUAUGAAAGGAUGAAGGUGAACAAGAAAGAAGCACAAAACCAACCUCCAAAAAAUGCCGCUCAAUCUGGUUGGCGAACUUUGAAGAACAAUUCAGAGGGAAUCAUUGAUGGCAAAGGCGAGGCCUAAGCAAAUAUGAAUGGUCCUGAAAAAGCACAAUCGGAUAUGAAAUGGCAACACCAGAAAUUGGAAAGAAAUCUACUAAGGCUCCCACAAUUGAUGGAUCCAAUGCUUUAAAAGGUAAUAGAUUUACAGAAAAAACUAAGAAUGUCUCUCAGAAUUUCAUCUCAUAUACAAGAAACGUAUUAGGUCAUAUAUGUAACAGUUUUGUGUCAUGUUUACAAACUGUUAUUGUUUCUAUAAGUUGCAUUCAAUAUGG